UAUAAAUAAAUUAUAUUCAACAUUAUGUUUAUUUUAAUCAUUUGUAUUUUUAUUGCAGUUCAAUGGUAAGAUUUACCAAAAUAUAGAGUUGCUUUUAAGACUCAUAAUAUUUUAAAAAAAAUAAUUAAAUAUUUAACUGAUUUUAUUCACAAUUGAUAAUUUCUACAAUAUAGCUAAAACUAAUUGUUUUAAAACGUAAAGUGUUAUCAAACUGGCCCUAAAUUUAUAAACUAUAUCCUAAAACAAUAAUUUUUUUUAAAAGACUUUCUUUGGACAAUCACAUUGCUAUUAUAGAAAUAUUAUAUCAUAUUAUCAUACAACAAGAUUUAAGAAUGAAACAGAAAACCAAAACUUUGAAUAAAAGUAAACAAAUCAGUCAUGUGUCAUUCGACAUUUACCUAACGGUAGGUUGGUGUCUACGAUUAUAUACCAAUUCAAGUAUCUACGAGAGCUCUUUCCUCUUCUUACAAAAUAUGUAAUUAGUAUAGAUUUCUUCCUAGAUAUUGCUAGUGGAAGCAGAUUUCAAAGCUAAUUUUGGUAAAAUUAUUAUCCCUAAAUUGUAAUAUAUAUAGAUCUUUACUAUUUAAAAAUAAUAAUUUAUAUUUUAUCGAAGCACUUUUUUUAAAAAAAUUUCUCCGUAACAAACCGUUUUAAUUCUUUUGUUGAAUAUUGUGUUACAAUUAUUUUUGUUUAAUUUAUGUAUUUCAGAGAUCCAAGAUAAGAGUAAAGAUCUCUGUAAUUUUAAAAUUCUAACAUACCUCAAGAUCUUAUAAUGUAAUUACCCACUCUUACUAGAUUAUAUUUUGAAAUUGUUAUUUGGUCGGGCUCAUUUCUAACAGAAAUUAUGAACGUAUCCGCUUUGUUGAAUGAAUGAAAAUAAUAUUUUUUUUUUUUAUAAAAAAAAGUUUUUAAAUAUUGUUAAAGAUAAUUUUAAGGGCCACGCCUACUUGCAACCGUUAGAUAACAUCAAUAUCCAACGUCUAAUAAUUAGGCAUACAGGCAGCAGCACUCUUUUUAAGUUACCUGAUAAGUUGGUACUGAAAUGUCAUUUGCUAUAAAAAAUAACUCUUAGCUAAAAACUUACAACGAAGUGGUGACAGCACUGUAGUAAUUCCCGAAUGAAUGUACGCCACAUAAGUCACGGUUUCUUAUUCUAAUAAUAGAUGGAACAAAUGCUUCAAUGCAAGUAAGGGUUCCUAAGCAAGCAUAGUAUGUGCAACAAAUGAUUCCAAGUAACAUAUGCUCUGUUAUGAAUUUCAAUAGAUUAGAGGCAAACAUCAAAAUAAUCACAAAUCUAGAGCGUGCGUUAACAUAACAGCCAUCUAAAACAAUUUUAUCGUGGACGACUUGACUUCAAUAAUCACCCAUAUAAUUAUAAAAAAGAAAGUUCUAAUUUUAAAUUCUUGAUCCAU
rnacentral:lncRNA from 1 species